UGCCAGCCGCCGCGGUAAUACGAAGGGACCUAGCGUAGUUCGGAAUUACUGGGCGUAAAGCGUACGUAGGCGGAUUAAUAAGUUAGAGGUGAAAUCCCAGGGCUCAACCCUGGAACUGCCUUUAAAACUGUUAGUCUUGAGAUCGAGAGAGGUGAGUGGAAUUCCAAGUGUGGAGGUGAAAUUCGUAGAUAUUCGGAGGAACACCAGUGGCGAAGGCGGCUCACUGGCUCGAUACUGACGCUGAGGUGCGAAAGCGUGGGUAGCGAACAGGAUUAGAUA
rnacentral:rRNA from 1 species